rnacentral:rRNA from 1 species
UACGUAGGUGGCAAGCGUUGUCCGGAUUUAUUGGGUUUAAAGGGUGCGUAGGCGGUCCCAUAAGUCAGUGGUGAAAUACUCUAGCUCAACUAGAGGGGUGCCAUUGAUACUGCGGGACUUGAGUGAAGUCGAAGUAGGCGGAAUUGACGGUGUAGCGGUGAAAUGCUUAGAUAUCGUCAAGAACACCGAUAGUGAAGACAGCUUACUAGACUUAUACUGACGCUGAGGCACGAAAGUGUGGGGAUCAAAACAGGG